rnacentral:lncRNA from 1 species
UAAGAACCUUAGGAACUCUAUUGUUUAUAACAUCCUAGCAAAGAAGAUGGUAGUCUCUAGCACUGAUGAUUUUCAGGCCACAGUUCAAAAAAGUUAUGACAAAAUGAGUGAGUUAAAAGCCUUUGAUGAUACUAAGGCAGGUGUCAAAGGGCUUGUUGAUGCUGGAAUCACUAAAGUACCUCAAAUAUUCAUUCUACCACCAAAAAACAGGCCGGAGUCCUUGGAUACAAGUGAAAAACAGUUCAUUUUCCCAGUGAUAGACCUUGAAGGUAUUGACGAGGACCCAAUCAAGCAUAAAGAGAUUGUGGACAAAGUUAGAGAUGCAUCGGAGACAUGGGGUUUCUUCCAAGUGGUAAAUCAUGGUAUUCCAACAUCUGUCCUGGAAGCAAUGCUGCAAGGAACACGUGAGUUUUUUGAGCAAGAUAUCGAGGUUAAGAAACAGUAUUACACUCGAGAUAUCACGAAAAAGGUGGUUCACACUAGCAAUUUUGAUUUGUAUAGCCCUUCUGUUCCAGCUGCAAAUUGGAGAGACUCCUUGUUCUUUUCAAUGGCUCCCAAUCCUCCCAGUCCAGAAGAAUUUCCAAGACCAUGUAGGUAUGUGUUCUGAAUAUGAAUAAGCGAACAACCAAUUUCAUUUAUUUACCUAGUAAUUGAAUAUGUAUUAUAUUGUGAUAAAACUCAAGAAUAAACCAUGAAAAUGCUGUCAUAGUUAUUUGUUUCCUUGCAAAUGAUUUUAGCUUGAUGCAAGUUUAGAUGGAUACUGUAUUAGAAAAUUUAACUAGAAGUCUGGUCCCUGAGAGCCAAUCAAGCAUAGCAUUUCUCUUUUAAAUAUUAAUAAGUACUGUUUCAUUAAUUUUAUGAAAUUGCUGCAGAGGAAUACUAAUGGACUACUCUAAGCAUGUGAUGGAACUGGGCUGUUCCUUGCUUGGAUUAUUGUCAGAAGGUCUCGGUCUUGAUCGUUGUCAUCUCGAAGAUAUGGAUUGCGCAGAGGGGCUCGGUGUUGUGGGCCAUUACUAUCCACCAUGCCCUCAGCCAGAACUCACCAUAGGCACCAAUAAACAUUCUGACAAUGAUUUUAUCACAGUGCUUCUACAAGAUGAUAUCGGAGGACUCCAAGUGCUUCACCAGAAUCAGUGGGUUGAUGUUCCUCCUACACCUGGUGCUAUUGUGGUAAACAUUGGAGAUCUUCUGCAGGCUAGUAUUCUUUUUCAUUUCCUAAUCGGUAAGAAUGAACAUAACACCUUUUUUCGAUACUGAAACCAAAUAUGCUUUAUUUUUGCUGCAUUUUCAGCUUAUAUCAAAUGAUAAGUACUUGAGUGUUGAGCACAGAGUAUUGUCAAAUAAAGUUGGACCAAGAAUAUCAGUUGCAUGCUUCUUCAGUACAGGUCCAUUACCAUCUUCCAAGUUGUAUGGACCAAUUGCUGAACUGUUGUCAGAAGAUAAUCCUCCGAAGUAUUGUGCAACCACAGUGAACGCCUUCAGUGAUUACUUCCGUAAAAAGGGUUUAGAUGGAACUUCUGCAUUGUUGCAUUUGAAGAUCUAACAUAGUAGUAUAGCAGUUGAAUGUAUGAUGAGUAUACCGAGAAUUUAACUUUUGGUGUAUGUUGCUGAAGCUUCAUAGAUGUUUGAAAGGCAUAAUUAAUAUAUAGAUGGACACUUUAACUUGGCCUCCACUGGCAAUUGAACACCCAAACUUUCAGUGUGACUGGUGCGUCUCGCGAACACCUUUAACUUUUUAAAUAACAUCUAGACACCUUUAAGGAGGUGCAUUCUCAAACUUGGGGUGUAUGAACUAGUAUGAUCUUUGCAAGAUCAUCCUCGUGACUGAUCAGUCUGACAAAGUUUUAUGUCUGUUAUAGUUUCUAUUCUUGUUAGCAAAUAAAUGAUUGUCAAUUACCACAUGCAGCUUUGGAUCAAAUAAUUCCUUUUUGUUCUAUCUGUCUCGCUUUUAUUUCUUCGUAAUAUAGAGUGACGUGUGUGUAUGUGUGACCACAGUGAACAAACAUACUUUCGCGAGAAAGGCCUUGACAGAACUCUUGCAUUGCUGCAUUACAAGUUCCUGUCAUAGAAAUGGAGAAAUUCAUAGCAAAAUGCAUAUUAGAAUAAAGAAUUGAACUUGUGAUAUACAAUUAGCAAAUAAAACAUGCUGUAAUUAAAGUUCCAUAAAUGUUGAUAAAUGGAUUUCUAAUUUACACAUAGUUCAGUACUUGAAAUAUUUCUGAUAAAAUUUCUCUGUUAAACUUUCUAUAUACUAGCCAUGGAUGAUUGCUAAUAUAUACUUGCAGCUUUUCAUAUACUUUGUUUUAAUAAAAAGAUUCUGGAGUUCCUCUAUUUCUAUUCUCGAUUCAGUUCAGCAUGUUACCAUAUGACGAUUCUUGAUAUUAUCUGAUAUCUUUAUCCUUUAAGGCAUUAAAAAUGAUAACUCCUUUCUUGUGCUUUAUUAGGCUUCAAAUAGAUAGUUAGUUGGUAUGAACUGUUGAUGGUGACUAUUGUGGUCUAAAUUAAUGGCUCUUGUUUUGAAAAAGUAAACUAGAUUCUUUCCUAGUACAUGAAUUUACCUAGUUCAUGUCUUAGGUAAUUUAUUCUAAGACGUGUGCAUGCCAGCGUGUCUCAUCGACAAUAAGUACUCUAACCACCAUUUAGGUAUGACCAAAUAUCUAAAUGUUCUCUUCCUCUUGUCUUUCCUCAUCUUGAGAAAUCCUCAACAUCUUGCAUUUCAAUAUCUCAUCAUAGUAAUGUAGCAAUUGAAUGUAUCUUAAGCUGAAGUUUCAUAGAUGUUGAAACAUGAACUAUUAUGAUCUUUGCAAGAUCGUACUCAUGACUGAUAAGACUCACACUAUAGUGUGGCGCAGAAGGUUUAUGACUGAUAGAAUGUAUUUCAUACUUACAAAAUGUUAUUUUCUCCCUUCCUCUUGUCUAAAAAUUACCCUUCUAAUGAAUUCAGACUCAUGUCAAAGGGUCUGCAUCUCAGUCCUAGCCAUCUGUUUGUAAUCAUCUCGUCUAAAUUGCGGGUAAAUGUUCUAGCUGACCCUUGUAAUCCACUGAACCAUUUGGCUUAUGCUGAUGAUACCGUUAUUUUUACUUCUGUUGACACUGAGUCCCUAAAGAGCGUAAUGAUAGUUUUGAGAAGAUUUGAGCAGACAUCAGGACAGCUAAUCAACAAGGAGAACUCCUGUAACAUGCAUAAAAAUGUAGGUAGCUCCUUGAUUAAAAGUGUCUUACAAAGUAUGUCGAUUCAUCUCUUAUUAGUACUUGCUCCUCCUAAGUAGUAGGUAGAGUUGUCUUGUUUCGUACACUUUUUCUUCCGAUGUAUAACUAAUGCAAAUAACUUUAUGGUCCAAAUUAUAUAUGGAAUAAGUACUGUAGAAAGGUAAUUCCUACCUUAAAAUAGUGAAAGGGUUAAUCACAAGUUUGGAAAAAGAUGUUAGAAGCUAGAGAAGUUGUGGAACAUGAGAUAUGGUGGAAAAUAAAUGGAGGAACUUCAAAUGUAUGGUAUGAAAAUUGGACAAAGCGGGGAGCAUUACAUCAUAUAGUAUCCAUUGGUCAGACCAUGGUGGAUGACUACAAGCAUAGGGAAAUUCAAAAGUUAACAGUGCCUGGAACAUGUUGAGACACAAAGAGCAGGCUCAGAGUGAGUUCAAACACAAAGAGCAGACUCAUCUGAUAUCCACAUAUUCUUCUCUUCUUCUUUUUUCAUCGUGGUGGUAGUGGUGGGGCGGGACAGUGGAUUCAGACAGUAACCAAAGAAAGGGACUAAAAAUAAUUAACUCAUUUCUUUUGUUUUCUGUUGGUAAGAACUGUUGAUGGUGACAAUUGUGGUCCAAAAGUCUAAAUUAAUGGCUCUUGUUCAAAAAGUAAAUUAGAUUCAUUCCAAUUAUAUGAAUUCAUCUAGGAAAUUAAUGCUAAGAUGCAUGUAUGCUAGUGGGCUCUUUGACAAUAACUCUAACCAUUGCCCAAAAGUCUAAAUUAAUGGCUCAUUGAGCACUAAAUGAGGAAACCUGAGUAAAAAAGGAGUAGCUUCGGUGCACUAAGCUCUCGCAAUGUGUAGGGUCUCGAGAAGGGCCAGACCACAAGUAAGUGACAUUCACUAUUCUGAAAAUUAUCAAUACAUGAGUGUUAAUAGUAGUAGUGUUUGAUUGAAGGGUAAAAUGGUCAUUCAAUUUUAUAUGGACAUUUUGGUCUUUCAACUUUUUUACGUUGGACCUUCCCACUUUUAAUAUAAAAAUAUGAUAAUAUCAUGUCCAUUAGGUACUAAGUGGCCUCAGGAACUCUUGUUCAUAACAUUCUAACAAAGAAGAUGGUACUCUCUAGCACUGAUGAUUUUCAGGUCACAGUGGAGAAAAGUUAUGACAAAAUGAGUGAAUUAAAAGCCUUUGAUGAUACUAAGGCUGGUGUCAAAGGGCUUGUUGAUGCUGGAAUCACUAAAAUACCUCAAAUAUUCAUUCUACCACCAAAAAACAGGCCGGAGU